UGAAUAUGAUGAAUGGUUAUUCGCUCAUAGACUAAAGUUUGUCAAAUUUUCUUUCGAAUGCGAGAGAUUUAGGAGGAGUUUAAAUUAUUAAAAAAAAAUUUGAUACAAAAAAAAAAACACUCCGAUGUUUAAAAGAUGUGGAAAGAGUUACAUCCGAAAUGAGUAUGAAAACUACCACCACAUGUAGGAAAGAGCUACCACCUCAGUCGUCCGAUAAAUAUGUGAAGCUACCACAUGAGAAUUGAUUGAAUCACCGAAAAGGUUGGAAAAAUAAUGAAUAUUUUAAAUUUUUCGUAGUUAUAAGGUGGUAGGAUGAAAAGAUGCUCAAAGAG
rnacentral:lncRNA from 1 species